UUUUUUUCUCUUAUGAUCCGCAGUUAAAAAUUCUCUUUCUGUGCCCGCGAACGUUUCGACGAUGUCGGAAAAACUUAGGAAAUGGUACAAGGCGUGCUUUGCUGCUGAGUGGUGUGGAAACUUCGCGACGAACACACUGGCAAAUUGUUUGCCGUUUGCCACCGAACGAGAGGCAAGCACACUUUUUUUAACAGUCGUUCUGAAGAAACAAAAUCUAUCCACAUCAAAACAGCUAUAGGAUGAAACGAAAUAUAUUCCGCGACUGCUUUGUAAUGUGUCAUAAAGCAAAGCUAUGCUAAAUAGUGAAUCUUGGAGAAGCUAGCCUGAGACCAGAGCCAGUAGCACGGCUACCGCCUCUCCUUCGGACCACUUCCCAAAACGUCUACGCCGACCCUGCUAAAAGAAGACUGCUGCGGUUGGCUCUGUUGACUGUUCGAAUGUGAUAGCAGUCCCUGAUCGACCAAGGUAGCGCCCAUCCCCGGAACGCCGUUUUCGGUCUCAAUCGACGUGGCGCCUUGCAUGUUCUUUCCAGCGUUCGUCAGCCUCUAGAACGAGCCAACGAAAGGGCCCUCAACCGUCACACGAUCACGUAAACGCGGA